rnacentral:rRNA from 1 species
UACGGGAGGAGCAGUAAGGAAUAUUGGUCAAUGGGGGCAACCCUGAACCAGCCAUGCCGCGUGCAGGAAGACGGUGCUCUGCAUUGUAAACUGCUUUUAUACCAGAAUAAUUUCCCGUAUGUAUACGGGAUUGAAUGUAUGGUAAGAAUAAGGAUCGGCUAACUCCGUGCCAGCAGCCGCGGUAAUACGGAGGAUCCAAGCGUUAUCCGGAUUUAUUGGGUUUAAAGGGUGCGUAGGCGGGUUAUUAAGUCAGUGGUGAAAGCCUACAGCUUAACUGUAGAAUUGCCAUUGAUACUGAUAAUCUUGAGUAUGAUUGAGGUGGGCGGAAUGUGUCAUGUAGCGGUGAAAUGCUUAGAUAUGACACAGAACACCGAUUGCGAAGGCAGCUCACUAAGCCAUAACUGACGCUGAUGCACGAAAGCGUGGGGAGCAAACAGGAUUAGAUACCCUGGUAG